UGCACAUGUCAGAUAUUUUAUGUGUACCCUAUCCUUCAAGUAUCUGGUGCGCACCGAAAGAAACUAUGCACACACAAUGACAUUAAGGUUGAUCGAUAGUAGAAAAAGUAAUUAUUAAUUAAUCAUAUUAAUUCAAAAGUAUCAGAAUACGAAAAAUUUCGAUGUUUUGGGCGCCAAAUAAAGAAUUAUGUUUUUAUUUGUUUAUGAAAAUGCUAAAUUAUGGAAACAAAUUGGAUUCACUCUGUGACAAAAAUUUUUUAUCGAAGUUGAUGCAAGUUUUACAUCCAAAAACUCACAAAAAGAGAUUUUGAAAACUAGCGGUCCACGCUGACCUCCUACGCACGGAUGAAUGUGUAUUAACUAUGUGUGUGACGAUAUUAUUUUGAAAAUAAAUUACAGUUUAAAGUUA